rnacentral:misc_RNA from 1 species
GAAAUGCGAUAAGUAAUGUGAAUUGCAGAAUUCAGUGAAUCAUCGAAUCUUUGAACGCAGAUUGCGCCCUUUGGUAUUCCGAAGGGCAUGCCUGUUUGAGUGUCUUAUAAACCUCACCUCUAUAGUUUUCUAUAGUUGUGCUUUGGGUGUUUGCCAGUACUGGCUCGCCUUAAAUGUCUAAGUGGAAUGCGUAAUAAGUUCUCGCAACCCUCCACUCUAAUACAAUUUAUAUUCUGACCUCAAAUCAGGUAGGACUACCCGCUGAACUUAA